UAGGGAAUCUUCGGCAAUGGACGGAAGUCUGACCGAGCAACACCGCGUGAGUGAAGAAGGUUUUCGGAUCGUAAAGCUCUGUUGUAAGAGAAGAACGAGUGUGAGAGUGGAAAGUUCACACUGUGACGGUAUCUUACCAGAAAGGGACGGCUAACUACGUGCCAGCAGCCGCGGUAAUACGUAGGUCCCGAGCGUUGUCCGGAUUUAUUGGGCGUAAAGCGAGCGCAGGCGGUUAGAUAAGUCUGAAGUUAAAGGCUGUGGCUUAACCAUAGUAGGCUUUGGAAACUGUUUAACUUGAGUGCAAGAGGGGAGAGUGGAAUUCCAUGUGUAGCGGUGAAAUGCGUAGAUAUAUGGAGGAACACCGGUGGCGAAAGCGGCUCUCUGGCUUGUAACUGACGCUGAGGCUCGAAAGCGUGGGGAGCAAACAGGAUUAGAUACCCUGGUAGUCCACGCUGUAAACGAUGAGUGCUAGGUGUUAGACCCUUUCCGGGGUUUAGUGCCGUAGCUAACGCAUUAAGCACUCCGCCUGGGGAGUACGACCGCAAGGUUG
rnacentral:rRNA from 1 species